GCCAAGGAAGAUGGUACCGUGGACACGAAGGCGUUGGAGGAAGAUUUAAAAAAGUACGCUCCCGCAGGCAAAGCUGACGCCCUGGUUGAACUCAUGCGAGAAUGUGCAGAAACCACGGCUAAGGACGCCACUAUUAUGAAAGAUCCUUGCAAAUCGAUCGCCAAAACGAAAAUGUUCUACGUAACAGGUCAGGAUAAAAUUUGUCCACCAGUAAAAAUAUAAAUGUGAAAAACAGAA